GUGAGGAAUAUUGCGCAAUGGAGGCAACUCUGACGCAGCCAUGCCGCGUGCAGGAAGAAGGCGCUACGCGUCGUAAACUGCUUUUAACCGGGAAGAAACCCCAGGACGUGUCCUGGGUUGACGGUACCGGAGGAAUAAGCACCGGCUAACUUCGUGCCAGCAGCCGCGGUAAUACGAAGGGUGCAAGCGUUAUCCGGAUUCAUUGGGUUUAAAGGGUGCGUAGGCGGAGCGUUAAGUCAGUGGUGAAAUCCUGCAGCUUAACUGUAGACUUGCCAUUGAUACUGGCGCUCUUGAGUGCGCUUGAAGUGGGCGGAAUGUGCCGUGUAGCGGUGAAAUGCUUAGAUAUGGCACAGAACACCAAUUGCGAAGGCAGCUCACUAAGGCGAUACUGACGCUGAGGCACGAAAGCGUGGGGAUCGAACAGGAUUAGAUACCCCUGUAGUCC
rnacentral:rRNA from 1 species